UACGGGGGGAGCAAGCGUUGUUCGGAUUUACUGGGCGUAAAGGGCGCGUAGGCGGUCAGCACAAGUCAGUUGUGAAAUCUCCGGGCUUAACUCGGAAAGGUCAACUGAUACUGUGCGACUAGAGUGCGGAAGGGGCAACUGGAAUUCUCGGUGUAGCGGUGAAAUGCGUAGAUAUCGAGAGGAACACCUGCGGCGAAGGCGGGUUGCUGGGCCGACACUGACGCUGAUGCGCGAAAGCCAGGGGAGCGAGCCGG
rnacentral:rRNA from 1 species